CCUACGGGGGGCAGCAGUAGGGAAUAUUGCUCAAUGGGGGAAACCCUGAAGCAGCAACGCCGCGUGGAGGAUGAAGGUUUUCGGAUUGUAAACUCCUUUUGUUAGAGAAGAUAAUGACGGUAUCUAACGAAUAAGCACCGGCUAACUCCGUGCCAGCAGCCGCGGUAAUACGGAGGGUGCAAGCGUUACCCGGAAUCACUGGGCGUAAAGGGCGCGUAGGCGGGAUAGCAAGUCAGAUGUGAAAUCCUAUGGCUUAACCAUAGAACUGCAUGUGAAACUGUUAUUCUAGAGUAUGGGAGAGGUAGGUGGAAUUCUUGGUGUAGGGGUAAAAUCCGUAGAGAUCAAGAGGAAUACUCAUUGCGAAGGCGACCUGCUAGAACAUAACUGACGCUGAUGCGCGAAAGCGUGGGGAGCAAACAGGAUUAGAUACCCCUGUAGUC
rnacentral:rRNA from 1 species